GAUGAAGAACGCAGCGAAAUGCGAUAAGUAAUGCGAAUUGCAGAAUUUCCGUGAGUCAUCGAAUCUUUGAACGCACAUUGCGCCCACUGGUAUUCCGGUGGGCAUGCCUGUUCGAGCGUCAUUAUCCUCCCUCAAACCCCGGGUUUGGUGUUGGACCCAAGUUGUGUGAACAACUGGUCUCAAAGACAAUGACGGCGUCCGUGGGACCCUCGGUGCAGCGAGCUUUUAGGAGCACGCAUCGAGUUGCAAGGACCUUCCGGGCCGGUCUCCUUUACCAUUUUACAAGGUUGACCUCGGAUCAGGUAGGAAUACCCGCUGAACUUAAGCAUAUCAAUAAGCGGAGGA
rnacentral:misc_RNA from 1 species